rnacentral:misc_RNA from 1 species
AUCAUGUUGAAUGGAUCAAGCUCGUACAUUCCAGCAACUUGCCUUUUUUGAGUUGGAGUUGACCCUCUUAGACUACUCCAUAGAUGACUGUUCUUUGCUAUUUUCUCUAAUAACUCAUAAGCUUCAUCUUCAUGCUUAAUGAUGAAUUCCCCUCCAGUUUGAGCAUCAAUGAUUCCUCUGAUAGCAGGAGUGACAUUUGUGUAAAAAUUCUGGUUUAUCAUCCAUUUAGGAAUGGCAUGAUGUGGACAUUGUCUCUCCAAUUCCUUCCAUCUCAUCCAUGACUCAUAAAGAGUCUCAUCUUCUCUUGGUCUAAAAGCAAUCAUUUGAUUCCUCAACUCUUGAGUUUUUCCAGGUGGAAAGUAUUGGGCAAGAAAUGCAUCAGUGAGCUGCUCCCAAUUUGUAAUUGAGUUGUGAGGUAAAGAAUCAAGC